UACGUAGGGUGCAAGCGUUAAUCGGAAUUACUGGGCGUAAAGCGUACGUAGGCGGCUAUGUAAGACAGGUGUGAAAUCCCCGGGCCUAACCUGGGAACUGCAUUUGUGACUGCAUAGCUAGAGUCCGUCAGAGGGGGGUGGAAUUCCACGUGUAGCAGUGAAAUGCGUAGAGAUGUGGAGGAACACCGAUGGCGAAGGCAGCCCCCUGGGAUGAGACUGACGCUCAUGUACGAAAGCGUGGGGAGCAAACAGG
rnacentral:rRNA from 1 species